AUUGAACGCUGGCGGCAUGCCUUACACAUGCAAGUCGAACGGCAGCACGGAGCUUGCUCUGGUGGCGAGUGGCGAACGGGUGAGUAAUAUAUCGGAACGUACCCAAGAGUGGGGGAUAACGUAGCGAAAGUUACGCUAAUACCGCAUACGAUCUAAGGAUGAAAGCAGGGGAUCGCAAGACCUUGUGCUCCUGGAGCGGCCGAUAUCUGAUUAGCUAGUUGGUGAGGUAAAGGCUCACCAAGGCGUCGAUCAGUAGCUGGUCUGAGAGGACGACCAGCCACACUGGAACUGAGACACGGUCCAGGCUCCUACGGGAGGCAGCAGUGGGGAAUUUUGGACAAUGGGGGCAACCCUGAUCCAGCGAUGCCGCGUGAGUGAAGAAGGCCUUCGGGUUGUAAAGCUCUUUUGUCAGGGAAGAAACGGUGAAGGCUAAUAUCCUUUGCUAAUGACGGUACCUGAAGAAUAAGCACCGGCUAACUACGUGCCAGCCGCCGCCGUAA
rnacentral:rRNA from 1 species